UACGUAGGGGGCAAGCGUUGUCCGGAUUUAUUGGGCGUAAAGCGCACGCAGGCGGUCUCUUAAGUUUUGAGUGACAGGUGGUGGCUCAACUACCACAGGCCUUGGAAAACUGGGAGGCUUGAGGACUUCAGAGGGAUGCGGAAUUCCAGGUGGAGCGGUGAAAUGCGUAGAGAUCUGGAAGAACACCAAAGGCGAAGGCAGCGUCCUGGCAAGUCACUGACGCUCAGGUGCGAAAGCUAGGGGAGCGAACGGG
rnacentral:rRNA from 1 species